GCUGGGCGUGGUGGUGCGCGCCUGUAAUCCCAGCUACUCAGGAGGCUGAGGCAGGAGAAUCAUUUGAACCCGAGAGGUGGAGGUUGCAGUGAGCCAAGAUCAGGCCACUACACUCCUGCCUGGGUGACAGAGUGAGACUCUGUCUCAA
rnacentral:SRP_RNA from 2 species